GUUUUGAAAAUAUCUUUAAAAAAUAAGAGUUUUUGAACAAUGAAAGUAUUGAUAAAAUCACACAUCUAAGUUAAACACACUCUCAAUCACCUCACUCAUGUUUCCUGUUUUGGUUAACACAUUUUAAUUGACUUUGGUCUUUUCACCGUCGCUCUUCCACCUGCAAUGCUGGACUGAGUGUCAUGCAUUGUCCGGGAACCCAGAUCCUGGAACUUCCGGCAGAGUCUGGAGUUGUCACCUGUUGUUGUGUAAGAACCAUCUCUGCCAGUUCUUAUGAGGAGCUGCCUAGCAGAGAAUUCAACAUUGACCUGAGCCAGCUUAGCGAGCUCGUACAACAGCUGGGCUGGUUAUUCCUCUGGGCCACUGGUUCUUACCUCUGGUUGUUCAUUAGUCAUCAGGGGAAUUUUUGAAAAGUAUGGGAGCCUGUCCACACCCAGAGAUUUGGUUCUAACGGGUCCUCAGUGAGCCAGGACAUUGGUUUGGGUCCCACUGGUUUAGUUCCCCUCAUUAGGACUUUUGCUCUGGAACAUGCUGCAUUUUCCCAGGCCCAGGGCAAAGAAGAAUGUCCUACAUGAUCAGAAUUUAAGGGACUGUUAUGCUGCUUUCCUACCUGACUGUUCACCUAGUCUUUUUUUUUUUUUUCCAAAAUGUAACACCAUGAAAAGUUUAUCUCUCUCAAAAAAUAGACACAAUGGUAUUAAUGACAACAGCAGUUGCAGCUCCUGGAGGUGGUUCCAUUUUUCCCACAUGUGAUUUUAUUUCACUCUGUCUUGAGUUCUCAAGUUUUUCAAGACAAAAUCUUCCGAGUCAGUCAUGGCUCUUCUCUUUAUCCUCACUCCGCUUCUCUAGUUCUUUAUCAGGUCCAGUUUGACUCUAUCUCUAAAACCAUUUCUGAAUGUGUCAAUUUCUUUCAUUCUAACUGGCUCUACUACAAGUCCAAGUCACCAUCCUCUCUUGACUGGGCUACUGCAGUGGACUCUGGCCUGGUCUCUAAGCUUUCUUUCUUGAGGGAUCUGGUCAUACCACUCCCUAUGCAAAACCCUGUUGUAGAGCAAAGUCCAGGCUUGUUGCUUUAUCCUAAAAAGCCCCAUGGCAAGGGCCUCUGCCUGACUCCUUGACUUUGUGGACAAAUGGGUUUAUCUAUGGGGAAAUAAGAAUGCAACAUUCCUGACAUCAUGGAGGCCCAGCCUUCUAUCUAGAGUUAUAUAACAUCUUGGAAGGUUCCAAAGGCAUUAAGUCAAGUCCAGGUUUGUCAGUUUCUCCAAAAGAUGUCAAUGAAAACUGCAUACGUCUUGCAGCUGAAUAUCUAAAGUAUCAAUUGCCUGAAAAAUACUGAUGAGCAGGCUGUAGGAAGAGUGUGCAGAAGCUGCAGGAAGAGUGGGUCCUGCUCACUGCCUUCUCUUUUUUUUGUUGUUAUCUUGCACUCCCCAUGCCAGGGGACAUGGGAGGUGGAGAAUCCUCGUGAAGUGCGUGGGGACAGUUGACCAUCUUCCACUCCUCCCAGUCUACCCCCAGAGCCUCUCUCUCUACAGGUUUGCCUGGCUCUUAAUUUGAGGACCUGUCUCUGCAGAGGCCCCUUGGUGAUAAACUCAGGGUCACGAGUCAGUUCUCAUAGGGAUGUUCACUCUCCAGACUCACACCCACUGGCUGCCCUUGCAGACCUGCUGGGUGCCACAGAACCAGGGUUGGUAUAUUUUCUUUUAUUAGACAAUAAGAGCUGCACACCACAGCGCUUGCCUUUUCUUUUUGCUUUUCUUUCCAGGGCUGUGUUAGUGCUGAUUAUGGAUGUAUUCAUCAGCUCUCUUUUCUGUUCUUUCUCUUUCUGCUGCCAUUUGUCCAGUUUAUUCUUGGGUGUGUGUGCAUGUGUACUUAUGGAGAGCUCAGUUCAAGUAACUUUGUGGGAAGGCUGGCCGGGCCGGCUUCUGUGGUCUUGAUGCACCGCCCUUGUCCUUCCUCCCACCUCUCCUGGCAUUCACACCUGCUUCAGAGUCCCCUCCACACAUUCAAUUUGGGGUCCUCUACCCCUACUUCGGCCCAUGUGAUCACCAAGUGGUCCAGAGCAGUCCUUGGACCUGUCCACCCCAUGAAAUGGGAACCCUCAAAAGACCCAGAUGCCGUUUUAGGGGGACAGGAUGUAUUGAAGAUUUAUAAAUGGAGCAAUCUCCUAAUCAAAAUAAACAUCAUCCAAUCAUGCUCACAGGGUGGUGGCAAAUUAGUGGCAGCAUAUUUUGUUUUCUUUAGCGGUGAUCCAUGAUUGAUUUAUGGAUUAAAUUGUGCCCUGUGAAGUACAUAUAUAUCUGUGAACUGUCUCCCUAAGCAUUUCCUGUUCACCUCUGUGCCACAUGCCUGGCUGAAGGAGAGAAUUGUUUCUCCUCUAGGCAGGAGCUGUCUGCAUAGCUCCUUGGGCUGGGAUAGUGUCUGCUUAGGGCUGCAUUCGGCUUUGUCUUCUGCUCUGUCCUCUGAGCUCAGCAAAAGGCCUAUAAAAAGGAAGG
rnacentral:lncRNA from 1 species